UACGUAGGUGGCAAGCGUUGUCCGGAUUUAUUGGGUUUAAAGGGUGCGUAGGCGGCCUUGUAAGUCAGUGGUGAAAUACGUCUAGCUUAACUAGAGGGGUGCCAAAUGAUACUGCAGGGCUUGAGUACAGAUGAGGUAGGCGGAAUUGACGGUGUAGCGGUGAAAUGCAUAGAUAUCGUCAAGAACACCUAUAGGCGAAGGCAGCUACUGGGCUGUAACUGACGGCUGAGGCACGAAAGUGGUGGGGAUCAAACAGG
rnacentral:rRNA from 1 species